UGAGAGGUAAGAGGGAUUUCAUCUAGAUGAAACCAUUUAUGCACAGUAACCAACACAGUUUGUGUCUUGCAUGUAGUGCAUAUGAAACUACUACACCAUGAAAUUUUCUCAUUUGUUGUCCAAAUCAGGUGAUUCUUUUUUCCAAUUUCUCGAAAAACUUUUUCUUUUCACGUGGUUUCAUUUACCUUGUAUUACCAUUUUGUCAUUUCUUCAAUAUUUACUUUCUCUAGAAUGAACGGACCUUUUUUGAAUGUGUCCAAGGUACCAAGG
rnacentral:lncRNA from 1 species